UUUACCUACGGGGCGCAGCAGUGAGGAAUAUUGGUCAAUGGCCGAGAGGCUGAACCAGCCAAGUCGCGUGAGGGAAGAAUGUCCUAUGGAUUGUAAACCUCUUUUGUCAGGGAGCAAAGUCACCCACGUGUGGGUGUUGGAGAGUACCUGAAGAAAAAGCAUCGGCUAACUCCGUGCCAGCAGCCGCGGUAAUACGGAGGAUGCGAGCGUUAUCCGGAUUUAUUGGGUUUAAAGGGUGCGUAGGCGGGCUUUUAAGUCAGCGGUAAAAAUUCGGGGCUCAACCCCGUCCGGCCGUUGAAACUGGG
rnacentral:rRNA from 1 species